GCCGGGUGUAGUGGCUCACGCCUGUAAUCCAAGCACUCUGGAGGCCGAGGUGGGUGGAUCACCUGAGGUCAGGAGUUCAAGACCAGCCUGACCAACAUGGUGAAACCCCGUCUUUA
ensembl:misc_RNA Metazoa_SRP Metazoan signal recognition particle RNA